ACGUACACUCCUACGGGAGGCAGCAGUGGGGAAUAUUGCACAAUGGGCGCAAGCCUGAUGCAGCCAUGCCGCGUGUAUGAAGAAGGCCUUCGGGUUGUAAAGUACUUUCAGCGGGGAGGAAGGCAAUACGGUUAAUAACCGUGUUGAUUGACGUUACCCGCAGAAGAAGCACCGGCUAACUCCGUGCCAGCAGCCGCGGUAAUACGGAGGGUGCAAGCGUUAAUCGGAAUUACUGGGCGUAAAGCGCACGCAGGCGGUCUGUCAAGUCGGAUGUGAAAUCCCCGGGCUCAACCUGGGAACUGCAUUCGAAACUGGCAGGCUUGAGUCUUGAAGAGGGGGGUAGAAUUCCAGGUGUAGCGGUGAAAUGCGUAGAGAUCUGGAGGAAUACCGGUGGCGAAGGCGGCCCCCUGGACAAAGACUGACGCUCAGGUGCGAAAGCGUGGGGAGCAAACAGGAUUAGAAACCCGUGUAGUCCCAUGAU
rnacentral:rRNA from 1 species